rnacentral:rRNA from 1 species
AGAGAGUGCAAGCGUUAAUCGGAAUUACUGGGCGUAAAGCGCACGUAGGUGGAUAUUUAAGUCGAAUGUGAAAGCCCUGGGCUUAACCCGGGAACUGCAUCCGAUACUGGAUAUCUAGAGUAUGGUAGAGGGAAGUGGAAUUUCCGGUGUAGCGGUGAAAUGCGUAGAUAUCGGAAAGAACACCAGUGGCGAAAGCGGCUUCCUGGACUAAUACUGACACUAAGGUGCGAAAGCGUGGGGAGCAAAC